GGAUGUAAAAGUCGUAACAAGGUUUCCGUAGGUGAACCUGCGGAAGGAUCAUUCAUAAUAAGUGUUUUAUGGCACUUUUUUAAAUCCAUAUCCACCUUGUGUGCAAUGUCAGGGUUGAUUUUUCUCUCGAGAGGAUCAACCCCAAACAUCAACUAUAUCUCAACUCUUUGUCUGAAAAAUAUUAUGAAUAAAACAAUUCAAAAUACAACUUUCAACAACGGAUCUCUUGGCUCUC
rnacentral:misc_RNA from 1 species